AAUCAACUCCAGCCCUGGGCAUCCACUCCACUUCCACAAGGUGAGCUGUCACAGAUUAUUUACAAAAAUGAGUCUGGAAAAGUCUCUUUCUUUGCCGUAUUUCUUUCCAUUUAUUCCUUCUUUAUCUUUACCUUUACCUUAUUUAAUUUCAUAAUGAUUUUUCGUUCUAUUUAAGUUUUCUUUCUCUUCUUUCCUCUGUUGGUUUUCUAAUGCCCUUUAUUCCUUUUCCUAUUCAAAAUAGUCUAGAUCUAAAGACAAGUAGUCCAGGGAAUGGUCAGAUAAAAAAGAAUUUUCCAUAAAUUCUAUUGUGAGAUACUAAUUUUAAAAUAUUAAUCUAGCUAGACCAGGAAAAAAAAUAAUCCAAACAGC
rnacentral:lncRNA from 1 species